AUUUUUUCCUCACAGUUCUACCAGUAUUUGCAUUGAGAAUUUGGUCACUCUGUUAUUAGGCACAUAAGAAUCCUCAGCUGCAUUUUGCAUUAUUUCCAGAGUUCUUGGUUGUAAUCAGUGGAGAGACAGGCUGUGGAAGACUUACCCCAUUUCGAUCAACACCAGGUGAAAAGGGCUGAGUUCAGAGCACUUCUCGACAGAUGAACAUAUGGAGGUUGACAGGAAGGGAACAAAAACUCAUCCAUGUAC